GCGGAAGUGGCGGAAUUGGAAUACGCGCUACGUUCAGGGCGUAGUGACCUAAUUGGUCUUGGGGGUUCAAAUCCCCCCUUCCGCACAA
rnacentral:tRNA from 1 species